rnacentral:rRNA from 1 species
CUUCGUGCAAAGGUAGCGCAAUCACUGUUCUUUUAAAUAGAGACCUGUAUGAAUGGCUAAACGAGGGCUUAACUGUCUCCCCUUUCCAGUCAGUGAAAUUGAUCUACCCGUGCAGAAGCGGGUAUAAUAAUACAAGACGAGAAGACCCUUUGGAGCUUAAGGUACAAAACUCAACCACGUCAAGCAACUCAGUAAAAAGCAAAAACUUUGUGAAACAUGAAAUUUUACCUUCGGUUGGGGCGACCACGGAGGAAAACAAGGCCUCCAAGUGGAGUGGAAAAACCUCCUAAAACCAAGAGAGACAUCUCUAAGCCACAGAACAUCUGACCAAACAUGAUCCGGCCACCCAAAGCCGAUCAACGAACCAAGUUACCCUAGGGAUAACAGCGCAAUCCUCUCCCAGAGUCCAAUCGACGAGAGGGUUUACGACCUCGAUGUUGGAUCAGGACAUCCUAAUGGUGCAUCCACUUUCUACGGGUUCUUUGUUCAAACAUGAAAGUCCUACGUGAUCUGA